UUUGUCCUACGGGGCGCAGCAGUGAGGAAUAUUGGUCAAUGGGCUUACGCCUGAACCAGCCAAGUCGCGUGAGGGAAGACUGCCCUAUGGGUUGUAAACCUCUUUUGUCAGGGAGCAACGCCGGCUACGUGUAGCCGGACUGAGAGUACCUGAAGAAAAAGCAUCGGCUAACUCCGUGCCAGCAGCCGCGGUAAUACGGAGGAUGCGAGCGUUAUCCGGAUUUAUUGGGUUUAAAGGGUGCGCAGGCGGCGUGUCAAGUCAGCGGUAAAAUGUCGGGGCUCAACCCCGGCCGGCCGUUGAAACUG
rnacentral:rRNA from 1 species